GGGCAGAGCCAGGGGCGGGGCUGAGCGCGGCCUGGGCGGGCUCCCCGGCGGCUGGGGUGGGCUGGCGUCUUCUUCGCGCCCGGGGGACCUCCUCGCGACCGCCGGGACGUAAAAGGGGCUUGGCAGGGGCGUCCUCGCCCCACUCCCGGAACCCGGUUUCCCGCUGCUCCCGCGAGCGUCGGGAGCCCAGCAGGCCUGGCCGAGGCGGGACCUUCGUCGCUCCAGCCCCCGUCCCCGCCCCCGCGCCUCCCCGCCGCGCGGAGCUCUGGUUGGCUUGCUUUCCAACCGGACUUUGGGGCUAGCGUUUAGAAAAGUCUCGACCUCCUCCGGCCCGGUCCCAUCCCAAGAACCGACUAAGGCUGUGAGUGUCCGGGAACCAGACCCGCUUGGAGGCCACAGCCCCGACGUCCCGCGCCCACGCGGCAGAUCGGGCGCUGCGGCCCGGGAGCCGCGGGGAGAUGCGGAGCAGGAGCAAUUCCGGGGUCCGCUUGGACGGGUACGCGCGGCUGGUGCAGCAAACCAUCCUGUGUUACCAGAAUCCCGUCACGGGGCUGCUGUCAGCCAGCCAUGAGCAGAAGGAUGCCUGGGUGCGGGAUAACAUCUACAGUAUCCUGGCCGUGUGGGGCCUGGGCAUGGCCUACCGUAAGAAUGCAGACCGCGAUGAGGACAAGGCCAAGGCCUACGAGCUGGAGCAGAACGUGGUGAAGCUGAUGCGAGGUCUUCUCCAGUGCAUGAUGAGACAGGUGGCCAAAGUGGAGAAGUUCAAACACACUCAGAGCACCAAGGACAGCCUGCACGCCAAGUACAACACCGCCACCUGUGGCACGGUGGUGGGCGACGACCAGUGGGGCCACCUCCAGGUGGAUGCCACCUCUCUCUUCCUCCUGUUCCUGGCCCAGAUGACCGCCUCAGGCUUACGUAUCAUUUUCACUCUCGAUGAGGUGGCCUUCAUACAGAAUCUUGUCUUUUACAUAGAAGCUGCAUAUAAAGUCGCUGAUUAUGGAAUGUGGGAGCGUGGAGAUAAGACUAAUCAGGGCAUCCCGGAAUUGAAUGCAAGCUCCGUAGGAAUGGCCAAGGCAGCUCUUGAGGCAAUUGAUGAACUGGACCUUUUUGGAGCCCAUGGAGGACGCAAGUCAGUGAUUCAUGUUCUGCCAGAUGAGGUCGAGCACUGCCAGUCUAUUCUGUUCUCCAUGCUGCCAAGAGCGUCAACAUCUAAAGAAAUUGAUGCUGGACUUCUUUCCAUUAUUUCCUUCCCGGCCUUUGCAGUGGAAGAUGUAAGCCUUGUAAAUGUGACCAAAAAUGAAAUUAUUUCUAAGCUCCAGGGGCGUUAUGGAUGCUGUCGCUUCCUUCGAGAUGGUUAUAAAACUCCAAGAGAGGACCCUAAUCGACUGCAUUAUGACCCUGCUGAACUCAAGCUCUUCGAAAACAUUGAAUGUGAGUGGCCUGUGUUUUGGACAUAUUUUAUAAUAGAUGGAGUCUUCAGUGGUGAUGCUGUUCAGGUCCAAGAAUACCGAGAGGCCCUGGAGGGAAUACUCAUCAGAGGCAAGAAUGGGAUCCGCCUGGUGCCUGAACUCUACGCUGUCCCGCCUAACAAGGUAGAUGAAGAGUACAAGAAUCCUCACACAGUAGACCGAGUUCCUAUGGGGAAGGUGCCUCAUCUGUGGGGCCAAUCCUUGUACAUCCUCAGCUCGCUGUUGGCAGAGGGAUUCCUUGCCACUGGUGAAAUCGAUCCCUUAAAUAGAAGAUUUUCCACUUCAGUCAAACCUGAUGUUGUAGUACAAGUUACUGUUUUGGCAGAAAACAAUCACAUUAAGGACUUAUUGAGGAAACACGGGGUGAACGUCCAGAGUAUCGCGGACAUUCAUCCAAUUCAAGUCCAGCCGGGCCGGAUUCUUAGUCACAUAUAUGCCAAGCUUGGACGGAAUAAGAAUAUGAAUUUGAGUGGGCGACCGUAUCGACAUAUUGGUGUCCUUGGAACCUCUAAACUAUAUGUGAUUAGGAACCAAAUCUUUACUUUUACACCCCAGUUCACCGACCAGCAUCACUUCUACCUGGCCCUCGACAAUGAGAUGAUCGUGGAGAUGCUAAGGAUCGAGCUGGCCUACCUGUGCACCUGCUGGAGGAUGACGGGCAGACCCACACUCACCUUCCCCAUCAGUCGCACCAUGCUCACAAAUGAUGGCUCAGACAUUCAUUCUGCUGUGCUCUCCACAAUUAGAAAACUAGAGGAUGGAUAUUUUGGAGGAGCCAGAGUAAAAUUAGGGAACCUUUCGGAAUUUCUCACCACAUCGUUCUACACAUAUCUGACUUUUCUGGAUCCAGACUGUGAUGAGAAGUUGUUUGACAAUGCCAGCGAAGGGACUUUCAGUCCUGAUAGUGAUUCAGAUUUGGUAGGAUAUCCGGAAGACACCUGUAAUCAAGAAAGCCAAGACGAACUUGACCAUUAUAUCAACCACCUUCUGCAAAGCACAUCGUUGAGGUCCUAUCUGCCUCCUCUUUGUAAGAACACAGAAGACCGCCAUGUCUUCAGUGCUAUCCACUCCACGCGGGACAUACUUUCUGUGAUGGCAAAAGCAAAGGGUUUGGAAGUUCCAUUUGUUCCCAUGACUUUGCCAACUAAAGUUCUAAGUGCCCACCGUAAAUCACUGAAUCUUGUUGAUUCUCCUCAGCCACUCCUAGAAAAGGUUCCUGAAAGUGACUUUCAGUGGCCCAGAGAUGACCAUGGUGACGUGGACUGUGAGAAGCUGGUUGAGCAGCUAAAAGAUUGUUCGAACCUACAGGACCAAGCAGACAUUCUGUACAUUCUUUAUGUCAUAAAGGGUCCCAGCUGGGACACAAAUCUCUCUGGACAGCACGGGGUCACCGUUCAAAACCUUCUCGGUGAGCUCUAUGGGAAAGCCGGCUUGAACCAGGAGUGGGGUCUGAUUCGCUACAUCUCAGGCCUUCUCAGGAAGAAAGUGGAGGUCCUGGCUGAGGCCUGCACAGACCUGCUUUCGCACCAGAAGCAGCUCACUGUGGGCCUGCCGCCCGAGCCCCGGGAGAAGAUCAUCUCUGCGCCCCUUCCCCCAGAGGAGCUCACAAAACUCAUCUAUGAGGCCAGUGGGCAGGACAUCAGCAUUGCCGUCCUCACGCAGGAGAUUGUGGUUUACCUGGCCAUGUAUGUCAGGGCGCAGCCCAGCCUCUUUGUGGAGAUGCUGAGACUCCGGAUUGGACUGAUCAUUCAGGUGAUGGCCACGGAGCUGGCACGGAGCCUGAACUGCUCAGGAGAAGAGGCUUCUGAAAGUUUGAUGAACCUCAGCCCUUUCGAUAUGAAAAAUCUCCUGCACCAUAUUCUAAGUGGGAAAGAGUUUGGCGUUGAAAGAAGUGUGCGCCCUAUCCACUCCUCCACAUCCAGCCCUGCCAUCUCCAUCCACGAGGUGGGCCAUACCGGAGUCACCAAAACUGAGAGGAGUGGCAUUAACAGACUGAGGAGUGAAAUGAAACAGAUGACUAGGCGGUUUAGUGCUGAUGAACAGUUCUUUUCUGUGGGCCAGGCCGCGUCCAGCAGUGCGCAUUCCUCCAAGUCUGCGGUAACAGUGCCUCGGGAUUAUUGUGUCCGUCCCCGCUCCUCCUCGCGUCCUUCCUCAUGCUCCCACCUCAUGCCCAACUUCUGAGGAUUCGAGCAGGGCUGAAGUGUUUUCAGCGGGAUGCUCACAGGCUCCUCCAACUGGAAUUCUGAGGAGGGUAGAAAGAAGGCCCCAAAGUGCUUGCCCUGAGCUUUGUUCUCCGUCUUAAGCUCUCAGUUCUCUGCCUGUGCUCCUUGGCACAGUGUGGGUGAGGAGUUUCCUUCUCACCAAUUCCCAGAGCUUCUGGAAACUUCGGGGCAUUAGUUCCAUGCCUCUUUAUGGAGCCAGGAUGGUGAGCCCUUGCCCACAUGUGCCAACUAGCACUCUGCACCUGCCAUGCCCCAGAUCUCGUGCAGGGCUCGGAUUGCGCUCACCGCAGAGCAGAGGCUGAAUCUUCCUCCUGAAACUGGAGGGCCCGGAUCAGCUGAGUCAUUGAGGAGUGCAGCUGUAAUUACUUUUAUUUGUGUCUAAUUGUUGCCUUAAGUGGCAGUAAUGAGCCCAAUGGAAUAACCCAGCCGAACUGCCUUUUCAAAAUAAGAUCUGUUGAAAUCCAAGUGCUGCAGAAAGGAGAGCUCCGCCUCCUGCCCUGCUAGCGCACUUCAGGAUUUCACUUUAACCCUUUACAUUUGAUUGUGCACAUUUGAUAUGUGGCACUAUCAAGAAACAAAAGUGCCAGAUAGUCCCAGGAAAAGAGAUGUGUGAGCGUGAAGGUUAUCCCUUCUCGACCUGGAGGUCUCGAAGCUAGAAGCCCCGCAGGGCAAGACAGAAGGCUGGGAGCUUUGCCGCAGGGAGGGGAUGCGCCCCCACUCACAGAGGCCCGCCCCGCCAGCGGUGGGGAGCCUCUCAGACAGUGUCCCCCUCUGGAGCCUGAAUCAGUCCAGCCAAUGUUGAGGUGGGAAGGAGAUGGCGCCCUCUUCCCUCACUUCAGCAAAGUCAGCCCCAGUUCAGAGGCAGCCAUUGCCCCAAAUUAAGAUAAAGCCCAGUGCCAAGAAUAGGGAAAGCCGGAAAUGGGAUUGCAAAGGGUGGGUGGAUGGACCCUGAUCUGCGAGGUCCUCGCCACUAAACGCGGGCUUCACUGUUUGUCUUCUCCCGUGUCAUGUGUUGCCUUCUCUGUGGUUCCUGUCCUGUGGAAACGUGUCUGUCACUUCUCUGUGGCACUGCAGCAAUGAAGUGGGCACUAUGGAGUUUGUCUCCCUGAGCCAUGGAUGCCUGCUCCGAGGGCCCGUUGUCACCCUCAAAGCUCUCCCACUGCAGUGGCACAGGCGCCACGUGCGGGUGACAGCUGCCCCUCAUGGGCACUUAGCGCACACUAGAGGUCCAGCACCCCAUCCUCGCCCACUGGCACGUCAUCCUCAGACUCGGGAGGACAUCACAUCGGCUGGGGUGAGCGGCAGGGCCAGUGGCUGCGCAGGAGAAGGCUGGAUGGGGCCAUCAACAGGGUCCCCGUGGGAUUCUACCAGAGGGUGUGGAAGAUCCUCCAGAAGUGCCACGGUCUCUCCAUCGAUGGUUAUGUCCUCCCAUCCUCGACGACCCGAGAGAUGACCCCGCAUGAGAUCAAGUUUGCUGUCCAUGUCGAAUCGGUGCUGAAUCGCGUGCCGCAGCCCGAGUACCGGCAGCUGCUGGUGGAAGCCAUCAUGGUGCUGACGCUGCUCUCGGACACGGAGAUGACCAGCAUCGGGGGCAUCAUCCACGUGGACCAGAUCGUGCAGAUGGCCAGUCAGCUGUUCUUGCAGGACCAGGUGUCAAUUGGCGCCAUGGACACCCUGGAGAAAGACCAAGCCACAGGAAUCUGCCACUUCUUUUAUGACAGCGCUCCGAGUGGGGCUUACGGGACGAUGACCUACCUAACAAGAGCAGUGGCUUCUUAUUUGCAGGAAUUGUUGCCCAAUUCGGGCUGCCAGAUGCAAUAGGGUCUCACCUGGAAACAUGGUCACACUCUCAAUCUGUCACGUGCCCCCUAGCCUUACUGGGAACCUUCUGUCCCCCAAGAUCCCCUGUGCUAUCAGGAAAGCAUGUCCCAUCAGAAACACUCUCGGGGGGCAAUGGUAGCACUCACCCUGAAACUGAUGUAUGUUAAAGCCACAGAGAUAGAGCUGAGGAGUCCUGUGUUCCCCCGCAAGGAGCACCCCGGGAUCAUUUUCUAGGUUCAUUUCUCUGGAACAUUUGCUGUAGCAUCUGGUCUCACGGACUCUGAGGAGGAAUUGGAAAUUGGUCUCUUUUGAGUGCAGAGGGAACUGAGACGCCAGCUUAAAUUGGCUCUUGCAGAGAGUUACAGAAAUAGUUUCGAUGAGCUAGUGACACAUCCUAAAGAUGCAAAGAUCCUCCCGGCGGCAGUAGCCUUGACAAGGGCCACCUCUUCACAGGAUGCAGUCUGUCUGUGCACCAAACUCUUCACCAAAUAGAACACUUGUGUCUCUCUGUGGAA